GAUGAAGAACGUAGCGAAAUGCGAUAAGUAAUGUGAAUUGCAGAAUUCAGUGAAUCAUCGAAUCUUUGAACGCACCUUGCGCCCUUUGGCCAUUCCGAAGGGCAUGCCUGUUUGAGUAUCAUGAACACCUCAACUCUUCAUGGUUUUCCAUGAUGAGCUUGGACUUUGGGGGUCUUGCUGGCCUGUGGGUCGGCUCCUCUCAAAUGAAUCAGCUUGCCAGUUUUUGGUGGGCAUCACAGGUGUGAUAACUAUCUACGCUUGUGGUUUUCCACCAGGGUAACCUUCAGCAGUGGAGGUUCACUGGAGCUUACAAAUGUCUCUCCUCUGUGAGGACAGCCCUUUGAAUGUUUGAUCUCAAAUCAGGUAGGACUACCCGCUGAACUUAAGCAUAUCAUAAGCGGAGGA
rnacentral:misc_RNA from 1 species